rnacentral:rRNA from 1 species
GCUCAGAGACUGCGGAGGACAUUAAUGAACGACGACCGGGGUUGAUGCUGGCCUUUCGAGGCAUGUGCUCGCCCCGCUCAUCCCUCUCACACCUGUGCACCCUUGCGUGGGUCGGCGUCCUCGUCGGCCUGCGUUUUAUCACAAACCCUCGCAUGUCUAAGAAUGAUAACGAUGCUCUAACGCAUUUUAUACAACUUUCAACAACGGAUCUCUUGGCUCUCGCAUCGAUGAAGAACGCAGCGAAAUGCGAUAAGUAAUGUGAAUUGCAGAAUUCAGUGAAUCAUCGAAUCUUUGAACGCACCUUGCGCCCUUUGGCAUUCCGAAGGGCACACCUGUUUGAGUGUCGUGAAAUUCUCAACCCCGUCUUCUUUUUUGAAGAGCGGAGGUUGGACUUGGAGGUCGUUGCCGGUCACUCGUGAUCGGCUCCUCUGGAAUGCAUUAGCGAGACCCUUGUGGUGGCGCCUUGGUGUGAUAAUUGUCUACGCCAUGGACGUGCCGCGAAUUUUGUGGGUGCUCGCUUCGAACCGUCGCAAGACACUUUCAUCGAACCUUGACCUCAAAUCAGGUGGGACUACCCGCUGAACUUAAGCAUUAA